rnacentral:lncRNA from 1 species
UCCCCUUCCUUCCUUGUUCACUGCUCUUGUCCUGCUUACAGCCCCACCCUGCCUGGCUUCCCAGCCCUUCUGUGCAUCUGGCCCUCACCGUGUCCCUCCUUCCUCUGCAGGUCUAGCCCUGGACAAGCUGAGUCCCCCUGACCCAGCCUGGAUGGCGAGACUGUCAUUGCCCCUCACUACCAAUUACCGAGACAACUUGUCUUCCCCUGAUGCUGCAGCAUCAGAGGAACCGAGAACCUUCCAGACAUUCGGCAAGACAGUCGGACCCGGUCCCGAGCUAAGCGCAACAGGCACGCGCCUGGCCAGCACUUUCGUCUCGGAGAUGAGCUCACUGCUGGAGAUGUUGUUGGAGCAGAACACGGUGCCUGUGGAAGCUGCGUCUGCGGCUUUGCGGAGGCUCUCAGUGUGCGGGAGGACCCUGAGUCUAGACCUAGCCACCAGUGGGGCCUCGGGCUCAGAAGCACAGCUGGGUAGAAAAAAGGCAGCUGAGAGCAGUCUUGGCUGUGGCAGGAAUCUAUGAAUAUGGUUGGAACAUCUUUGGAUCCAGGACUUGGGUCCCCUGGGAAAUGUUAGGACACUCAGGUCUUGAGGAUCUCAGGGAAUAAGCUGGUUUCUAAACUUGUGGAAUUCAUUGGCCAGAGAUAACCCUAACUUUGGAGUAACGGAUGCUAUGCUAUUCCCCACAGAGGAAGCAGGAGCCCAGGACUAACAAGCA